rnacentral:rRNA from 1 species
GACGAACGCUGGCGGCGUGCCUAAUACAUGCAAGUCGAACGCACUCUCGUUUAGAUUGAAGGAGUUUGCUCCUGAUUGAUAAACAUUUGAGUGAGUGGCGGACGGGUGAGUAACACGUGGGUAACCUGCCCUAAAGUGGGGGAUAACAUUUGGAAACAGAUGCUAAUACCGCAUAAAACCUAACACCGCAUGGUGUAGGGUUGAAAGAUGGUUUCGGCUAUCACUUUAGGAUGGACCCGCGGUGCAUUAGUUAGUUGGUGAGGUAAAGGCUCACCAAGACCGUGAUGCAUAGCCGACCUUAGAGGGUAAUCGGCCACACUGGGACUGAGACACGGCCCAGACUCCUACGGGAGGCAGCAGUAGGGAAUCUUCCACAAUGGACGAAAGUCUGAUGGAGCAACGCCGCGUGAGUGAAGAAGGUUUUCGGAUCGUAAAACUCUGUUGUUGGAGAAGAAUGUAUCUGAUAGUAACUGAUCAGGUAGUGACGGUAUCCAACCAGAAAGCCACGGCUAACUACGUG